GACGAACGCUGGCGGCGUGCUAAACACAUGCAAGUCGAACGAGAGCGUAGAGAAAGCUUGCUUUUUCUACAAUCUAGUGGCAAACGGGUGAGUAACGCGUAAACAACCUGCCCUACGGAUGGGGACAACAGCUGGAAACGGCUGCUAAUACCGAAUACGUUCCGAAAGUCGCAUGACUAUCGGAAGAAAGGAUGGCCUCUAUUUAUAAGCUAUCGCCGGAGGAGGGGGUUGCGUCUGAUUAGCUAGUUGGAGGGGUAACGGCCCACCAAGGCGACGAUCAGUAGCCGGUCUGAGAGGAUGAACGGCCACAUUGGAACUGAGACACGGUCCAGACUCCUACGGGAGGCAGCAGUGGGGAAUCUUCCGCAAUGGGCGAAAGCCUGACGGAGCAACGCCGCGGGAGUGAAGACGGCCUUCGGGUUGUAAAGCUCUGUUAUACGGGACGAAUAAUCUUGUGGUUAAUACCCAUGAGAAGUGACGGUACCGUAAGAGAAAGCCACGGCUAACUACGUG
rnacentral:rRNA from 1 species